AGCGAACGCUGGCGGCAGGCCUAACACAUGCAAGUCGAACGGCAGCAUACUAAGAGUUUGUUUUUUCGGUUUUCGUGUCGCGGACGUGUGUGGCACAUAUCCGACCCUACCUUUUCGUGGGGGCUACCGACGGGAAACUUACGCUAUUACCGCAUACGUCCUACUUGUGAUAGAACCGGAUCUUCGGAUCUUGUGCGAUUGAAUGUGCCGCUGCCGGAUUAGCUAGUUGGCGGGGUAAAGGCCCACCAAGUCGACGAUCAGUAGCUGGUCUGAGAGGAUGAUCGGCCACACUGGAACUGAGACACGGUCCAGACUCCUACGGGAGGCAGCAGUGGGGAAUAUUGGGCAAUGGGCGCAAGCCUGAUGCAGCCAUACCGCGUGAGUGAAGAAGGCCUUCGGGUUGUAAAGCCCUUUUGUUGGGGAAGAAAAGCAGGAGGGUAAAAAACCGAUGGAAGGAAGGGAACCAAAAAAGAAGCACAGGCUAAAUUAGUG
rnacentral:rRNA from 1 species